UUUAUUGGAGAGUUUGAUCCUGGCUCAGGACGAACGCUGGCGGCGUGCCUAAUACAUGCAAGUCGAGCGGACCUUUUAAAAGCUUGCUUUUGAAAGGUCAGCGGCGGACGGGUGAGUAACACGUGGGCAACCUGCCUGUAAGACUGGGAUAACUUCGGGAAACCGGAGCUAAUACCGGAUAAUAUAAAGAACCUCCUGGUUCUUUAUUGAAAGAUGGUUUCGGCUAUCACUUACAGAUGGGCCCGCGGCGCAUUAGCUAGUUGGUGAGGUAAUGGCUCACCAAGGCGACGAUGCGUAGCCGACCUGAGAGGGUGAUCGGCCACACUGGGACUGAGACACGGCCCAGACUCCUACGGGAGGCAGCAGUAGGGAAUCUUCCACAAUGGACGAAAGUCUGAUGGAGCAACGCCGCGUGAGCGAUGAAGGCCUUCGGGUCGUAAAGCUCUGUUGUUAGGGAAGAACAAGUG
rnacentral:rRNA from 1 species